rnacentral:rRNA from 1 species
GACGAACGCUGGCGGCAGGCUUAACACAUGCAAGUCGAACGCCGUAGCAAUACGGAGUGGCAGACGGGUGAGUAACGCGUGGGAACGUGCCUUUUGGUUCGGGACAACUGAGGGAAACUUCAGCUAAUACCGGAUAAGCCCCGAGGGGGAAAGAUUUAUCGCCAAAAGAUCGGCCCGCGUCAGAUUAGGUAGUUGGUGGGGUAAUGGCCUACCAAGCCGAUGAUCUGUAGGUGGUCUGAGAGGAUGAUCACCCACACUGGGACUGAGACACGGCCCAGACUCCUACGGGAGGCAGCAGUGGGGAAUAUUGGACAAUGGGGGAAACCCUGAUCCAGCCAUGCCGCGUGGAUGAAGAAGGCCCUAGGGUUGUAAAGUCCUUUCGCCGCUGAAGAUAAUGACGGUAAGCGGAGAAGAAGCCCCGGCUAAUCUCGUGCCAGCAGCCGCAGUAACAC